rnacentral:rRNA from 1 species
GACGAACGCUGGCGGCGUGCUUAACACAUGCAAGUCGAACGGAAAGGCCCUGCUUUUGUGGGGUGCUCGAGUGGCGAACGGGUGAGUAACACGUGAGUAACCUGCCCUUGACUUUGGGAUAACUUCAGGAAACUGGGGCUAAUACCGGAUAGGAGCUCCUGCUGCAUGGUGGGGGUUGGAAAGUUUCGGCGGUUGGGGCUGGACUCGCGGCUUAUCAGCUUGUUGGUGGGGUAGUGGCUUACCAAGGCUUUGACGGGUAGCCGGCCUGAGAGGGUGACCGGCCACAUUGGGACUGAGAUACGGCCCAGACUCCUACGGGAGGCAGCAGUGGGGAAUAUUGCACAAUGGGCGGAAGCCUGAUGCAGCAACGCCGCGUGCGGGAUGACGGCUUUCGGGGUGUAAACCGCUUUCGCCUGUGACGAAGCGUGAGUGACGGUAAUGGGUAAAGAAGCACCGGCUAACUACGUG